rnacentral:rRNA from 1 species
AUGGUGCCAAAGGAUAGACUUAACCACUGUAUACCUUUCCACCUCCCGUGUGUCACUGUGGCAGCCCCUUUUGACUAUAAAAGGAGGCCUGAGGCCUACUGGAGAAGGAUUCAGAUCUUUUGGGACUACGCACGCACCACAGCUAGUUCGAAAGCUCAAGAACACUCAAACAUACACCAAAGCAGGACUAGGGUAUUACGCAUCCUUGUGGCCCGAACCUGGGUAAGCGUCUUUGUGCUGGCUACCAGACCCGCUCUUUGCACAACCCCGCGCCCGCCAACCGUAAAAGGGAUCCCAGUGAUUCCAUAG